rnacentral:rRNA from 1 species
CAGAGAUGGAUUUGUGCCUUCGGGAACUGUGAGACAGGUGCUGCAUGGCUGUCGUCAGCUCGUGUUGUGAAAUGUUGGGUUAAGUCCCGCAACGAGCGCAACCCUUAUCCUUUGUUGCCAGCGAUUAGGUCGGGAACUCAAAGGAGACUGCCAGUGAUAAACUGGAGGAAGGUGGGGAUGACGUCAAGUCAUCAUGGCCCUUACGACCAGGGCUACACACGUGCUACAAUGGCGCAUACAAAGAGAAGCGACCUCGCGAGAGCAAGCGGACCUCAUAAAGUGCGUCGUAGUCCGGAUUGGAGUCUGCAACUCGACUCCAUGAAGUCGGAAUCGCUAGUAAUCGUGGAUCAGAAUGCCACGGUGAAUACGUUCCCGGGCCUUGUACACACCG